UAGAGAACCUCUCAACAUACAUGGGCCUGCCAAGAACUGUAUCAACUAUGGCAGCAUCAACAGAUUUCAAGAAUUCAGGGCCAUUCAGCUUCCUCCCAGAACAGCAAUCAAUCUCCUUUGGCUCAGCAAACUUUCAAGCAGUGUGAAGCUGCAUGACAAUUCAGCACAGGUGUAUAGCCAGCACUGAUUUGGCCCGGUGACUCAAGAUAAAAACCUGAUCUGUGAAGCCAGCUGCUUCCACUGGUGGGUUAUUUUUGCUGUCAGCAGCCAUACUGCCAUGACAAGCAUCUUUUAUAAACAUGUUCUUGACAUGAAAGCCACAUUAGCCCCAGGAAGAGCUUUACUCAAAGUUUCAUGGUGUACACAUUUCAACAAACUUGCUACAACUGUAAUGGUGAUUGAAGCGAACGUGACCAUCAUCACAGGUUUUGAGAAUACCCGUCUCCACUUGGCCCAAAGGGACAGCACCAAUACCACCCGAUUUUGUGGAUGUCAUGGAGAAACAGGCACAAGCAUCUGUCAGAUGGAUGAGCUGGUAGCAAGAUAUCCAGAACUAUAAGUAGCAUGGUUCCACUGGCAUUUUCAUCUUUACAGUUCCAUUAAUCCAGAACGAAUGGGUUUCUCCCUGCAACCUGUCAAUCAAACAGAGGUGGCCAAUCACCACUCUGAAUUUUUUUUGCUCUCAGUGCUUCUUCAGACUAUGUUCCAGUUGAAACUUCUUUAGCAGUGUUCUGAAAGAGGUAAAAGUUCUAACCUAUCUAAAGCACAUCUAGGGACUGAAUUUCAGAAAACAACUAAAAUAGGGAGUUGACCUCCCUAACAAAUAACAACUAAGGAUGAUUUUCAACAAAUGCGAUUGGAUUUCUGGAUUAGCAGAAUCGGAACGCACACACAUUAUCAGAUUGGAUUGCUGAAGGCACCUCCCCAACAAAUUACAUAGAAGCAUUACAGCUCAAUACAAUUUCUGCCUUUGACUUUUGUGGGAGAUCUUUCCUCCCCCUGGGUCUUCCUUAAGGAGUGGAACAAAUUGCUGCUCUAUUUCUAGAAAUAUCUACUCAGCCUGAUCAUGGACUUCCCAGUUUCAAGACGGCUAGAUGUUCAAUAGUUAACUUCAAAGGUUCCCUGAAGAAAUUCAAAAUAAAAAGUCAGAGACUUUAUGAAAAAAAUAAGAUAAUUUGCUUCACCUAUAUAGAUAUGAAAUUCAACAUUAAACCCAGUAAGCAACCUGGAAAAAUAGGGGACACAAACUAAAAGGGGUAAUGACUGACUAGUGCUUCCUAAUUACUAUUCCAACUGUUUGCCAGACAUACAACAGGAAGGCAGGGCGCACAGAUGAUACCUCUGAUCACAACUAUGACCUUAAAAAGAAUCUCCUCUCAUUAUUUACAAAAAAGAAAAGAAAACACAGCUACAAAGGCAACAAUUUGAACUCAAAUAAGCAAACCGUCAUUCUUCAAAGUGUUUCCCCUUUUUUGGUCAAUCAUAAGUUUGA